CGGCGUGGCAGCAGAAAGCGGGUCCCAGGGGCAACCCAGGGUCUCCAGAGCCUUUUCCGGCCAAUGCCGAGGCCGACGAGGGACUCCUUCAGUUCAGGAGUUACUAGAAAGCCAGAAGCCCGAAACCCCUUCUUCUAGGAAUCAACGCCCAAGGCUGGCUGCCGGGUCCCCGGCGCCCCCCCACGGCCGAGCGAGCCCGCCUGCGGGGGCUGCCCCUUAAGAGCCCAAGCCUCCGGGUGGUGGUCGGGGGGAGCCAAGGCCCCUCCAUUCCGAAGGAAAUCAAUGCCGCGUUAAUCCCAGACAGGAUCCAGCUGGAACAAUGACGGGGGCCUGCCCAGCCAGCCCCAGCUGCUUCCUUUUCAGUGGCCCUGUGCCCCCUGCCAGAUCCUGACUGGGGGAACUGGAGUCUGGGUCCACGAUGGAAAUCUGCCCUUGAAGAACUGCUCCCAGGGAUGGAUUCCAGUGCUAUGCUCCACGCAGCACCUUCCCUACCCCACUUCCUACUCCUCAAGCCCCUCUAGGAAAGAGACAGACACACAACGGGAGAAUGCUACAUGGUGAUGGAGACAGACUGGAGUGAUGUGUCUACAAGCCAAGGAACGCCAAGGAUGACUGACAACCACGAGAAGCUGGGAGAGGCAUGGAGAGACCUCAGAGAGAGUGGGGCCCUGCUGACACCUUGAUUUCAGAGUUCUGAUCUCCAAACCUGUGAGAUGAUAUAUUUCUUUUUUAAAUUUUUUUGCUAUUUAUUUAUUUAUGGCUGUACUGGGUCUUCGUUGCUGCACAU